AUGCGUCAUUCCGGGUCAAUUCAUUAGUACCUCCCAAGUGUUUUUGGAAACCCUCUUUUUUCUUCUUUUAAAAAAAAAAUUAUUUUACAAGCCCUUUAUGUUAUUUAAGGCCAGCUUCUCUUUACGCUCCCCUUUUUCCUUUUUUUUUUUCUAUCUUUCCCUUGCCUUCUCUUAUUUUACUUUACAAACCUUUUCUAUUAUUUAAGGUUACGGUCGAAUCUGAUGAAGGUUGCCUACGUAUCACGGCCUCGCGUGAAUUAGACCAAGCGUAGUUCGUGACACAAAAAGUAAAAGACACAAAAUUUUUGGAAUCAUCCAUUUCAUUACCAAAAUAUGCUAUUACAAGCUACCCAUUUUAAACAAGGAAAAGCAAAAUACAGACUCCAACAUGAUUUGCGGUAAAAGAAACAGACGGGUAGAUAACAGACUUUUAAAGACAACAAGUGCGAAUUUGAACUAGGGAUACAUUAAAGCUUUCAAUUUAGAUACCCGCGAGGCAUCGUUCGGCCUUUCCGCGGGCUUUGGUGCAAGACCCCUUUGUAAGCUUUUCAACUCAUCCAUGAUCCGGUGGACGUAACCCAUGACGGGGGCAAAAAGGGUAUCACGAGGCAUUUCCUCACAUGCUAGGCACCUCAUGUAGAUGUAGUGCCCAUUCUCAUCGAUCCUACCCCUGAUGCUAUCCCUUUCCAUGAACAGUUGCUCUAUUUGCCGAUUCUUUUACCCCAGUACUUGAGCAUUGUCGGCGAGUCGAUCCUGGAACCUUUCCAUUUGUUCUUCCAUUCUGGCGAUUAAAUCAUAAUAGCGCCUUCUGUCUGCUCUGGCAUCUCGGGCUUGUUAAAAGACCCGCUCCUAGAGAGUGGAGUUUGUUUCUCUUAGUAGCUCAAUGGUUACUUUGUAAUCCCUUCUGACUUGCUGUAGAUGCUUUUUCCGCGCCACUGUACCUUUCGCCCAUCUGGCCCACAUUCUUGCUAUGCAAGCCUCUGAUCUUUCUAAGCCCUCUCGGCUUUCGAUGACCUGAUUCCUUAACCCUGCUAUCAAUCUCUCGUCGGACGAGCUUCUUUGUCGGUCAUCGGCAUCCCUUCUGACUUGGCGGAUUUGAGCUUUCAAGACCUUGUUUUCUUGAGUCAACCUGUUUUUCUCCCCUGUAUCGGUGCCAGUUUGCAAGCUGCUUUCAUAUUUCAGCCCCCCAAGCUGCUGAUUUAGCUUGCCAAUUUCGACCCGAUAUCCCUUUUCUUGAGAAUGACG
rnacentral:lncRNA from 1 species